rnacentral:misc_RNA from 1 species
AUUAGGCGUAGGGCGCACAAUGACUGAACCGUAUGCAGUGUCGGAACAUCCAUUAGCAUUCAUGGUAACAACCGCUACAGUAAAGUUACCUGACGAGUUAUAAAUGUGCGUAGGGUUUGAGCCGGUUGAAGAGAAGUUAUCUCCAAAGCUCCACAUAUAGGUUUGUCCGGGUGCAGAAUUAUUUCCGCU